rnacentral:rRNA from 1 species
AUCAGUGGCGAACGGGUGAGUAACACGUGAGCAACCUGCCCCUGACUCUGGGAUAAGCGCUGGAAACGGCGUCUAAUACUGGAUACGAACCACGAAGGCAUCUUCAGUGGUUGGAAAGAAUUUCGGUUGGGGAUGGGCUCGCGGCCUAUCAGCUUGUUGGUGAGGUAAUGGCUCACCAAGGCGUCGACGGGUAGCCGGCCUGAGAGGGUGACCGGCCACACUGGGACUGAGACACGGCCCAGACUCCUACGGGAGGCAGCAGUGGGGAAUAUUGCACAAUGGGCGAAAGCCUGAUGCAGCAACGCCGCGUGAGGGAUGACGGCCUUCGGGUUGUAAACCUCUUUUAGCAGGGAAGAAGCGAAAGUGACGGUACCUGCAGAAAAAGCGCCGGCUAACUACGUGCCAGCAGCCGCGGUAAUACGUAGGGCGCAAGCGUUAUCCGGAAUUAUU